rnacentral:rRNA from 1 species
UGAACGCUGGCGGCGUGCCUAAUACAUGCAAGUCGAGCGAACAGAUGAGGAGCUUGCUCCUCUGACGUUAGCGGCGGACGGGUGAGUAACACGUGGAUAACCUACCUAUAAGACUGGGAUAACUUCGGGAAACCGGAGCUAAUACCGGAUAAUAUAUUGAACCGCAUGGUUCAAUAGUGAAAGACGGUUUUGCUGUCACUUAUAGAUGGAUCCGCGCCGCAUUAGCUAGUUGGUAAGGUAACGGCUUACCAAGGCAACGAUGCGUAGCCGACCUGAGAGGGCGAUCGGCCACACUGGAACUGAGACACGGUCCAGACUCCUACGGGAGGCAGCAGUAGGGAAUCUUCCGCAAUGGGCGAAAGCCUGACGGAGCAACGCCGCGUGAGUGAUGAAGGUCUUCGGAUCGUAAAACUCUGUUAUUAGGGAAGAACAAAUGUGUAAGUAACUAUGCACGUCUUGACGGUACCUAAUCAGAAAGCCACGGCUAACUACGUG